UAGGUCAGCAAAAUUCAGCUGAACUAGCUUUGGUAUAGGCUAAGGGUUCCAGGGUCCCAGCAGCACAUCCCCACCCAUAAAUUCACAAAGUAGCCCCCCCCCGGGCCUAACGCCUUGAGACGGCCCUUGAGACAGAAAUACAUGUGUUCCCACAAUGUGCGAGUACACAUUGCGAGCCUUUCUCUUCAAUAAAGUGGUGCCCAGUCUUCUGUGAGUACGAAGUAAAGAUGGCGGCUAGUUACAGCUAUACGGGAAUGGGACAACGUGGUCAAGGAUUUCUGUGUAUAUGAAUGCUUUUCCCGUAAGCUGAAUCAGCCCAGCGUUAUUAACGGGAAACGGGACCAAAUUAGUGGCUGUUUAAGAAGUUACUUGACUGAUUUAUCCAGGUGAUAAAAACAACAAGCAAAUCAUGAUUCAAGAUCUUGCCUCUUCAUUCUUGUGAUGGCACUGUCCAAGAAGAAAGCAAGUUGUUAGAGACAUAGAUCAGAGGAUCAAGGACCGGAGACCCAGGACGACCCAGGGCAGAGGACCCAGGACAGAGGACCCAGGACAGAGGACCCAGGACAGAGGACCCAGGACAGAGGACCCAGGACAGAGGACCCAGGACUAGGAACAGAGGAUCAAGGAGUAAGGAUAGGACUGAGGACUGACAACUGGGGAUCAAGGACAGUGGAUGAAAGCAAGCCUUGGAUGAUGAAGUUUCAUAAGUUGAAUUAUAGAUAUAUUAAGGUAUAUGAGAUAUUAUCGUCAGCAGAAAUGGCACAGUGCACCUUACCCUGAGGGUUUCUCUCCGGGUACUCCGGUUUCCCUCACUCCUGAAAAUCCAAUAUUUUCAAAUUCCAAUUUAACAAAAUUGGUAACACAUUGCUGUGGGCCAACUGAGAUGAAAAAUUCUCUGAUUACUCAAGGUAAACAUUUGUAAUACCAAUUUAUUUUUCUCUGUUUAUUUCCUAGUUACAUGUGCACAUGUGGAUUCACAGUCUCCUUUGCAGCUGUUAUUUUAGUUAAUGAUCAAAUUGGAAAGAAGCUUUAUUCAAUUUGUGUGUUUUUCAAAGAUCUCUUUUUUAAUCAUAGGUAAAGGGAAAUUACCACGUCAAUCAACCAAUCAAUCAAUCAAUCAAUCAAUCAAUCAAUCAAUCAAUCAAUCAGUC